rnacentral:lncRNA from 1 species
UGAACUGCUCCACCAGCCUCUUGACAAGGUGGAUAGCUUCUGUAGUGGAGCGACCCGACAUGAAACCGAACUAGUUCACAGAUAUAAAUGUCAUCUCCCUCACCCUCGCCUCGAUCACCCGUGGUAUGACUUAUUAAUUUGAUACCCCUAUAGUUGUUGCAGCACUGGAUGCCACCUUUGUUCUUGUACAAGGGCACCACUGUACUCCACCUCCACUCCUCCGACAACUUUUU